rnacentral:rRNA from 1 species
CUACGGAGGGUGCAAGCGUUAUCCGGAAUCAUUGGGUUUAAAGGGUCCGUAGGCGGACUAAUAAGUCAGGGGUGAAAUCCCACAGCUUAACUGUGGAACUGCCUUUGAUACUGUUAGUCUUGAGUUAUAUGGAAGUAGAUAGAAUGUGUAGUGUAGCGGUGAAAUGCUUAGAGAUUACACAGAAUACCGAUUGCGAAGGCAGUUUACUACAUAUAUACUGACGCUAAUGGACGAAAGCGUGGGGAGCGAACAGGAUUAGAAACCCUAGUAGUCC